UAAAUAGCCAGCUUUAGGCAGUUGGCCGGUUUAGUCAGUUGCUGUAAGAGUUAGCGGUUUUCUUGCUUCUGGUCACCUUGGGGAGGUAAUUUUUCCUUAUCUGUAUCAGCUUGCUUUGUGAUAUUCUGCAAUGAACAAAAUAUUGAGAUUUUGGCUCUUCUCCAUACAAUGGAACUCAAAGCUCCAGUGUUGCUUGGAUCCCAACAAGUAUCAUUUGUGUUCUGCAGAAGAAAGACAUACGGAUUUAAAAUCACUUG